GUUAAUGCUGUAGCUUGCAGUGUUGUUAAUGAUGUAGCCUGCAGUGUUGUUAAUGCUGUAGCUUGCAGUGUUGUUAAUGAUGUAGCCUGCAGUGUUGUUAAUGAUGUAGCCUGCAGUGUUGUUAAUGCUGUAGCCUGCAGUGUUGUUAAUGCUGUAGCCUGCAGUGUUGUUAAUGCUGUAGCCUGCAGUGUUGUUAAUGCUGUAGCCUGCAGUGUUGUUAAUGCUGUAGCCUGCAGUGUUGUUAAUGUUGUAGCCUGCAGUGUUGUUAAUGCUGUAGCCUGCAGUGUUGUUAAUGCUGUAGCCUGCAGUGUUGUUAAUGUUGUAGCCUGCAGUGUUGUUAAUGCUGUAGCGUGCCUAACAUUUUUUAAUACUGUAAUAUACAAGACUUUAGUUAAACUCCUGGUGGUUGUGUUACUCACCAACAAACUAACUCUUUGGUGGUAAGAAAUAAAAUAGUAUGGCUUCUGUGAUGGUGUGAGAGGAUUUUAUGUCCAUAUAUAUAAUAUCCUCUCGUGUGUGUAUUGAGGACAGCUACACUACAUUAUCUUAUUAUUAUAAUACGUCGUCGUUAGCCUGUUUGAUCCUCAACAUAAUUCACCGUAAGGCUAUUUCAUGUGUUUAAUUUUCAAAUUAUUAUGCAAUAAAAUUUAUGAUUUAUAA